rnacentral:rRNA from 1 species
UACGGAGGGGCUAGCGUUGUUCGGAAUUACUGGGCGUAAAGCGUGCGCAGGCGGUUCGUUGUGUCGGCGGUGAAAGCCCCGGGCUCAACCUGGGAAUGGCCGUUGAAACUGGCGAACUGGAGUGUGGCAGAGGGGGGUGGAAUUCCGCGUGUAGCAGUGAAAUGCGUAGAGAUGCGGAGGAACACCGAUGGCGAAGGCAGCCCCCUGGGCUAACACUGACGCUCAGGCGCGAAAGCUAGGGGAGCAAACGGG